AGGCUAUUUGUAUUGCUGACAGGCACACCCUAAAACGUAUAAGAGGUCUCAGAGGUGUAGUUUAUGGGAUGUUUCUGAUAAACUGUAGGUUUCCAUUUGAUUGGAAGGCUGUACAGGUGGUUUGGGAGAUGCGCAGUGUUGCCCAACGUCACACUCGGUGGUGGUAUAAAAUCCCCUGUGUUUGUUCCUCCAGUCAUUUGUCUUGAGAAAACAGCAAGGCAUAGAGCUAAUUACGCGCAAUUGUUGCAGGGAAGAAACCAAUAACAAGAUGACUAAAAUGGUGAUGGCUUACAUUGGGUUUCUUCUCCUUGCCAUGCAUUUUUCAUCACAGGUCCACGCUCAAAACACUACCACACAGUCCCCUGCCAUGAAUGCUACGACCAAAGCUGGCAGUGGGAGUUCCAACAUGACCAAGAUGCCCGACGUCACCAAGAACAACAACAUUGCCAAAGGAGCCAGUGCAUCCUUGCAGUCCAGCUCGGUUGCGCUCAUCAUACCCAUCAUGGUGGGGGGCUCACUACAGGGGUGCUUCUAGAGGGCUGUUGCAGCAGUGAACCAACACCGGCAAGACUUUAACAUCCCCGGCCUAGAUGGGGUAAACUGUUUCACAAAGAUCACAUUUUUUUAAAUAAAUAAUCAGGAAGGCAGUCAUGUGCGCUCCUAACCGAAGAUAUUCGGUGGAGUUGCGUGCCGGAGGAGAACCCAUUUCUACUUCACUGAUGGGAAUUGUUAUUUGCCCUUACACCUUCCGGCCGCUUCAAACCAGUAGGCCUUCAUACCUCUCACACUGGCCCCAUGCCCAUAGGCUGAACUGUACGGUCCUCUCCAUGGAGGCAGUCCAUGAUGAGUAUGUACUGUACGGAACUCUGCUCUUUGAACCGUUUGGUCCCGCUGUUCCUGUGUAGACACCAGGGGGUAGUUUAGUAAUUUGUUAAGAAGUUAAAAUAUCUAAAGAAAUGUUGGGUGAGGCACUUUGAAAAUAAGGUAUAGAAUCUGUGGCACAUGCACGGACAGUGGCAUUUCUGCACCUGCAGUGAGUACUUUGUCAGAGGCUUGAUGUACACUUGUGAUUUAUUUCUAGAAUAUGGAAUUGUAUGAGUUAGCAUAUGUGAUAUUUAAUUGUCUAAAUCCGUGAUGUGAUAUGCUCAGAUUUGUUUUUAAGGCCAGGUUCAAUAAACCCUUGAAAUGUAGGAUACUUGUGACAAUUUUCUUGUAUAAUAAAAAAUACUAUAAUGUUUCUCCUCCUGUCUCUAAAUUCUAAAGCUUGACCUGCCAAGUAAUUUGCUCUGUUCAACUUGUGUCCAGCCCCUUUAUUGAUCACAUAGCUAAGCCCAAGGAUUUCCUGAAGUAGACUAUGUUUGAUGUGCCACAAUUUAAAUCCUUAUUUUAGAAUGGGGUAUAGGAAUGUUCACCUUUGGCCAGUUGUAGCAUUUAUGCCAUAUCAACUAGGACAUGUCUUGCAUUCCUUGUGGCCAAAACAGGUCCGUUUCCUGACAGUUGACUCCGUUGUAGGCUGCUUUAAUUAGUUUAGUUUACCCUAGCUACAGUCUCUUGUGACCAGUCAUUUACAAACUAGCCUACAAUGAUGUUCAGGGGAAGGCUGGCUGUAAGGUAUACAUGAACUGAAACUAAUAGUUUCUUGACACUGGGUCUUGCUGGUUGGCUCUCAGCCAAAGGGGUACUUAGAAUGGUGACAUUCAUCCCAGAAGUCUAAACUGGGGGUUUCUAAGCUAUAUUGUGUGGCUAUAAGGUCAUACCAAGGAUAAUUUUGAUAUUUCACAACGCUCUUGAAUCAGACAAUGAAAUUAUUUGACAUUACUGCUAUUAGUCCAUACAGAUUGACAACAGUUUUGUUCUCAAGUGUCAGAUCGGGGGACAUUUUAACAUCAAACCCCCUUUUUUUUUUUUGGUUUUUUUUUUGGCACUAAACAAUUUAUGUUCAGAUGGUACUCGGACCUUCAGGUGAGGUGUUUGAGUCUCACCUUUCCAGAGGCUUCAUAGUGUGUAGAGCCUGUUCAAACUAGUCCCAAAAGAUGCUUGUGGGGGUUGUGAAGAAAUUUACUGACACUGGAUGUGAUAAGACUUUUUUUUCUCUCCCCAGGAUGUGUCAUGGUCUAACACCUUUCACAUAGGCAGAUGUGGAUAAUUUGAACUUUUAACUUGAUUUAUGGGGAUUGAAUGCUAAUUGAUCUUAGGGGGUUUGAAAGGAGGCUGUGGAUUGUGGCAAUAGUCUAAUUUUAAAUUUAAACCAAUUUGUUUUAUUUUUUGGUGACUACCUGUUUGGCAUGUUAUUUUGGUAUUAAUGUUUCACAUGUUAAAAGAAAUUAAAGCUGCAUACAAACAUGGUCUCUUUUGCUUGAGUAAGACUGCUCCAAUGUAGGUAUUUCAGCCUAGCUCAGUACUCUGUGGUGGUUGGGCAGCCAGUGGAAAAUACGGAGUGUAGGUAAUGUUCUCUAGUUGUGCCACGAUUAGCUCAGUGUUCUGUCACUGCCAAGUCUAAGGGUAGACCUAGAAAUUUCAAGCCCCUUGGGUGCUGCCAUAGUUACAUUAAGUGCCCAUCCAAAAAGGCUCAGUCAUCCGCCACAGAAAGGGAUGUCAAAUCACCUUAUCUACAGUAGCUUUGAUUGGACUGUCAACAUCAUACUUUCAAAAUCUGAGCUAGCAGCUAUGAAUCAAGUCGACAAUCUACUGGCAAAACCUUUUUAAUCCUUGUCAUAUUAAGACAAAUUAUAGUGUAUCGGUGCUCAUCGGCCAUUGGACAUAAACGUUGGAAAUUGCAAAUUCAACAAUGAGUGGUUUGGAAGGAAUCAGGGACAGUGUUGGGACUGCUGUUGGUACAGCUUUAUGUAGUCCCUAACAGUUUGUGGGCACUGUUUGUCACUGUUAUAGUGCAAAUCAUGUAUUGUUUAGUGUUGUGUAGUGGCUUUGCUCUCAUGCAUCUCACUAUUGUUUGUUUUUUUGCCCCACCAAGAUUUACAUGCUAACAUCACCACUGGUUCCAAUCGAGUAGUUUCGUGUCCCUCUUCUCCCUGUGAGCAAAGCAUCUUAUCAGUUACCUAAACCACCUACACCAUGGAUUCUAUGCAUCAACCAUAUGGGUUCAUCUCCUUAAAUCCUUGUUUUCCUGCUUCUGAUGAGCGACGCUCCGUCAAGGUGUAUUGGUUGGCAGCAAGAUACAGGUGCCUGAUGGUUUGCACCAGUUCAUUUACACCUUCAGUCGGAAUCAGAACUUUGCCAUAGAUGUGUGGAAGUGUUAUUCAAGAAACAAAACAGAUCACAUCAAGAUGAAACAAGUCCCUCUGACAUUUCUACAUGAGCAUCGCUAAAAGGCAGUGGUGGGCCGUCAGGGCCAGCAAGGCCUUCUCUGCUGGCCUAAACAUCAUCAGAAUAUAUAUAUAUAUAUACAUUUUUAAUAUAUUUUCCCACAAAUAUGUAUCCAAUUAUUCCCCAGAGUAAGAGUUAUACUCUUCAUUUCAUAGCUUUCCUCUUGGUUGCACUGCUUCCAGCCCCAGGUUGAGAUUUGGAGGGCUGGUCUUUAUGUUAGAUCUUUUAUCCAAUCAUAUUCAGCCAUCAUGUGUUGCCAGGGGUCUAAAAUCUGCCCUCAGGCCUUCAGAAUCAACAGUGCGGGCGCUUGUAGCUUAAAGUGAAUGGAAAUUAAAAUGUAGUGUCAACCAAUCAGCUUUAGAGUUGACUAUUGUACGCCCGCUGGCUGGCUGGCUCCAGUGUUACACAUGAGCCAGCUAGCAGGCGUAGUGCGUGCACGUCUUUUGAUUGGAUUACCAAUAUUGAGAGGCAAGUCCUAUGGGCAGGUCUAUGCAGAAACUCAGAACUAGGAAACUGAAUUCGAUAAACAAAUUAAUUUUCGUACUACUAAGCUGUUUUUUCAACCCACAAUGGCGGAAGGAGGAGAAGAUAUCGAUUUGGUCGAGAAUAUAAUUAUAACGCCAUUCUCAAGACGUACUUUUCAAGAAAAGUUAGACAUUGUAAGGAGAGGUCGCCCGACGCCGACUCUACAAAGCCUGUCACAGGCGGGAAACUUGAGUUGUCUAACCAAGGCAGCAACGAGACACCAAAGUACGGCUGGGCACUUACAAGCAAUGGUGCUUUUGAAAACUU
rnacentral:lncRNA from 13 species